AUCUUUCUAGUACUAAAUGUCAGUAUAAGUGACUUCCAAUCACCCGGUCUUGGUUAAAACCCAAGGAAAGAUA
rnacentral:tRNA from 6 species